GCCACCAUAGCUCAGUGGUAGAGCAUCAAAUGCAUUAUUCGAAGGUCGCAGGUUCGAUCCCCGCUGGUGGCA